AUUGAACGCUGGCGGCAUGCCUUACACAUGCAAGUCGAACGGUAACAGGUCUUCGGAUGCUGACGAGUGGCGAACGGGUGAGUAAUACAUCGGAACGUGCCCGAUCGUGGGGGAUAACGGAGCGAAAGCUUUGCUAAUACCGCAUACGAUCUACGGAUGAAAGCAGGGGACCGCAAGGCCUUGCGCGGACGGAGCGGCCGAUGGCAGAUUAGGUAGUUGGUGGGAUAAAAGCUUACCAAGCCGACGAUCUGUAGCUGGUCUGAGAGGACGACCAGCCACACUGGGACUGAGACACGGCCCAGACUCCUACGGGAGGCAGCAGUGGGGAAUUUUGGACAAUGGGCGAAAGCCUGAUCCAGCCAUGCCGCGUGCAGGAUGAAGGCCUUCGGGUUGUAAACUGCUUUUGUACGGAACGAAAAGGUUCUUUCUAAUAAAGAGGGCUGAUGACGGUACCGUAAGAAUAAGCACCGGCUAACUACGUGCCAGCAGCCGCGGUAAAAC
rnacentral:rRNA from 1 species